GCUGGCUCAGUCAGUAGAGCAUUAGACUCUUGAUCUCAAGGUUGUGGGUUCAAAUCUCAUAUUGGGCA
rnacentral:tRNA from 1 species